rnacentral:misc_RNA from 1 species
GUCAGGACUCAGGGCAGAAGGAACAACAUUCCCAUCACUGUUCACAAAAAGCCAAAGCACGCGCUGCCAAAACGCCGCCGUGCAGGCUGCAGCAGCGCCUACUGCUGCGCUGCUUUUUUUUAUUGGUCUUCACUUCACCGGCGGGAGAACUACCUUUACAAUGCCAUACGACUCUCUGCUCUCUAUUCUACAUGCCAUACACGAAACAGCAAGAGCUAAGAACAAAAUCUACAAAAAAGAAAAAAAAAACUGUACACACGAGCAACGCCUACUAGCGGCGUCGACCAUAUGGCCGGGCCACCUUGGUUGGUCUGUCUGAUCGGUCCGGUGACCGGAGCCGUCAGAACGAGUCGGACAGGAGCCAAGUCUCGAACGCCUCCAGCUCG